rnacentral:rRNA from 1 species
AUGAACGCUGGCGGCGUGCCUAAUACAUGUAAGUCGAGCGAGCAGACGAGGAGCUUGCUCCUCUGACGUUAGCGGCGGACGGGUGAGUAACACGUGGAUAACCUACCUAUAAGACUGGGAUAACUUCGGGAAACCGGAGCUAAUACCGGAUAAUAUAUUGAACCGCAUGGUUCAAUAGUGAAAGACGGUUUUGCUGUCACUUAUAGAUGGAUCCGCGCCGCAUUAGCUAGUUGGUAAGGUAACGGCUUACCAAGGCGACGAUGCGUAGCCGACCUGAGAGGGUGAUCGGCCACACUGGAACUGAGACACGGUCCAGACUCCUACGGGAGGCAGCAGUAGGGAAUCUUCCGCAAUGGGCGAAAGCCUGACGGAGCAACGCCGCGUGAGUGAUGAAGGUCUUCGGAUCGUAAAACUCUGUUAUUAGGGAAGAACAAAUGUGUAAGUAACUAUGCACGUCUUGACGGUACCUAAUCAGAAAGCCACGGCUAACUACGUG